rnacentral:rRNA from 1 species
UACGGAGGGAGCUAGCGUUGUUCGGAAUUACUGGGCGUAAAGCGCGCUUAGGCGGCUUUGUAAGUUAGAGGUGAAAGCCCGGGGCUCAACCCCGGAACUGCCUUUAAGACUGCAUCGCUUGAAUCCGGGAGAGGUGAGUGGAAUUCCGAGUGUAGAGGUGAAAUUCGUAGAUAUUCGGAAGAACACCAGUGGCGAAGGCGGGUCUCUGGGCCGAUACUGACGCUGAGGAGCGAAAGCGUGGGGAGCGAACAGG